rnacentral:rRNA from 1 species
AUUGAACGCUGGCGGCAGGCCUAACACAUGCAAGUCGAGCGGAUGAAGGGAGCUUGCUCCUGGAUUCAGCGGCGGACGGGUGAGUAAUGCCUAGGAAUCUGCCUGGUAGUGGGGGAUAACGUCCGGAAACGGGCGCUAAUACCGCAUACGUCCUGAGGGAGAAAGUGGGGGAUCUUCGGACCUCACGCUAUCAGAUGAGCCUAGGUCGGAUUAGCUAGUUGGUGGGGUAAAGGCCUACCAAGGCGACGAUCCGUAACUGGUCUGAGAGGAUGAUCAGUCACACUGGAACUGGGAAACGGUCCAGACUCCUACGGGAGGCAGCAGUGGGGAAUAUUGGACAAUGGGCGAAAGCCUGAUCCAGCCAUGCCGCGUGUGUGAAGAAGGUCUUCGGAUUGUAAAGCACUUUAAGUUGGGAGGAAGGGCAGUAAGUUAAUACCUUGCUGUUUUGACGUUACCAACAGAAUAAGCACCGGCUAACUUCGUG